GGCUGGGCUGUUGCGCCACGGUGCACUGGGAAUGCAAGAUUUCGGGGUUCCCCAGGGACACAGAGGAACCCGAUGGGACAUAUAGGGAAUUUGGAACCGACUUAAGCUUAGAUGCAUGCUCUGUCAUUGCUCAAACUCAGGAUUAGGUGCUUUCUUUGGGGUGUCAAGCGAGAACCCCUUUCCUCCACAAACAACUCCAGCGUUGGAAAAGGCCUGAGCCUGCCACAGGAGAGAUUUAGAGGAAUCGCUGAUUGUCGUUCAGGGAAGCCAAAGUAAAAGAAGGGUUGGGUUAGAUAGAAAAGGGUGCCGGGUUUCUUGGGAAAGGGUGCUGAGGGCUGAAUGAGAGAGCACACAGGCAAGGGGGAGGGGGGCGCUCAGAGGGAGAGCCGCGCGGCCUUCCAGGCAGAAGGAACACCGUGUCCAAACGCACGGAAGCGUGAAAGCCCCCACGAUUAGGCCUUCGAGAUGGCUCAGUGGUUAAAGACACUUGCUGCCAACCUGAGUUCGAUCUUCUGGACCUUGGAAGGAGAAAACCGAAUCCUGCAGGUUGUCCUCUGAUUUGUACAUGCGCGUGCGCGACACACACACACACACACACACACACUUUAAAUAAAUAAUUGAUCGCUCUAUUUUUAUUUUGUUUUGAGACAGAGUCUCGUUUAUCUCAUUUUAGCCUUCAGCUCUUUCUAGAGUUGAGGAUAACCUUGAACUUCUGAUCUUUUUUUUGCUUCUAUUCUGUGCCUGCCCAGUGCCCCAUCUGGUUUAUGCUGUGGCAGGGAUGGAACCCAGGACUUGAUACUCUUACCAACUGAAGCACUCCCAGCCUUCUUUUUCUUUACUUUAAAUUAAAAACUUAAUAGAAAAAAAACCCCAUAAUUUUGUGUAUAUAUAGGUGUUUGCCUGUGUGUAUCUGUGUGUGUCACAGCAUGCUUGGUGUCCAGGGAGCUCAGAAGACAGUGUCAGACCCUCUGGAACUGGAGUUAGUUGCAGAUGGUUGUGAACUGCUCUGUGGGUACUGGGAAUUGAACCCUGGAUCCUCUGGAAGAGCAGCCAAUGCUCUUAACCACUGAGCUACACAACCCUUUAUUUACUUGAGAGGAAAAAAAAUGUGUUUUGCUUUUAUUUGUGCCUCUGUGUCUCUGUGUGUAUAUGUUGCAUCUGUGCUGGGAGUAUGUGUGCUCUAGGAGCCCAGAAUAGGUAUUUAUUGGAUCCCAUGGAUCUAGAGUUACAGGUGGUGGUCAUGAGUCACUUGACAUGGCUGCUGAGGACAGAACUCAGGUCCCCUCUUAGCCACCAAGGCCCCUAUUUUUGGUCUCUUAAAAUUUGGAGACUGGGUUUCCUGUAACCCAGGUUAGACCGGAACUCUUGAUUUUCCUGCCUCUACCUCCCAUGUUCUUGGAUUGAAGUGUGACUCUACCACACCUCACAGACAAUGCUGCAAGCCGGGGAUUUAACCAGUGGUAGAGCGCUUACCCAGCACUGUAAACAAAUAAAGUAAAAUAUUGGGCAUGAUGGCACACAUUUGAAUUUCACUGCUCGGAGGUUGAUACAGGAGCAUUAUUGUCAGUUGGAGACUAGCCUGGGCUAUGUAGUGAAUUCAAGGCAAACUUUGGCCACAGAGUGAGGAUCUGUCUCAAAAACACCCAAAACUAACUUGAUGAAAGGAAAUAAAUAAAAGGCUUGUCUGUUUCCCCUCCUCUAAAAGUCUCUGAUCCAUAAGAGCAACUAUUUUGGGGGCUGGUGAUAUGGCUCAGCAGGUAAAGGUGCUUGCUGCCAAGCUUGAGGAUCUGAGUUCAAUCUCCAGGACCCACUUGGUGCAAAACGAUAACUAAGUCCCUAAACUUGUCUGCUUGCUUCUUAGUCAGGAUUUCCAUUGCCAUCGACAGACACCAUGACCAAGGCAAGUCUUUUUUUUUUUUUUUUUUUUUUUUUUGGUUCUUUUUUUUGGAGCUGGGGACCGAACCCAGGGCCUUGCGCUUCCUAGGCAAGCGCUCUACCACUGAGCUAAAUCCCCAACCCCCCCAAGGCAAGUCUUAUAAAGGACAGCAUUUAAUUGGGGCUGCCUCACAGGUCCAGAGCAUUAUCAUCAUGGUGGGAGCAUGGCAGCAUCCAGGCUGGCAAGGCACUGAAGGAGCUGAGAAUUCCACAUCUUGUCCCAAAGGUAAACAGAAGACUGAUUUCCAGGCAGCUAGGAGGAGGGUCUCAAAGCCCAACCCCACAGUGACACACCUACUCCAACAAGGCCAAGACCACAUUUCCUAAUAGUGUUACUCCCUGGGCCAAGCAUAUACAAAUGACUUCAGCUUUCAUAUGUAUUCACACACACACACACACAUACACACACACACACACACACACACUCACACUCACACAUAUGCACAUACUUGCUCUUUUUAAGUAAACAUAGUAAAAAAUUUAAAAGGCAAUACUCUUGACUGUUCUCGGCUGUAUUCUCGUUAGCCACAGGGAAGGUUGCUUACUCGAUAUCUAGGAAACGCAUACAUGCACAUGCCUUUGCAAUGAACUCUACAGGUCUAGGAGGCCCAGAUAAGUAUGGUCCAGGAGGCCAGCUUGAUUUCCUAGCACCUAUAGGGCAGCUCACAACUAUUUGUAGUUCCAGCUCCAGGGGAUCUGGCAGCGUCACACAUAACAUAUGGGCAGGCAAAACAUCAAUGCACAUAAAAUAAAAAUAAAUCGUUAAAAAAAAUAAUAAUGAGCUCAAGGAUAGCCCGAGCUAGCCUGGGUUAGCCUGGGCAACAUUGUGAACCACCUCUUUCCCUCCCCUGAAAUGCAUUCAGGACCCUAAAAUGCAACGGAAGCUGUGGGAAGAGUGAGGGUUAGGGUACCUGGGUAUCAGCCAGUCAGAGGUGCACAUGACAAAUAGGAAUUGUGCCCACAGUCAUAGAGUCCCAGAACACCUAAUGGGUGAUGAGACAAAACAAACAAGGCUCCAAUCAGGAUUUGGCCGGUUUUCUGACUUCUGUUUCCCAGUAGGCCAAAUCAGUAUUUUCCAGUCUGCAGGCUGUGACCUGCCAGUGCAUGGUGAAAUCAAUUUUGCAGGACAUGACUAGCAUAGAAACCAACUGAGAAUCCAGAGGGCAUGGAGAAUUGCACGUGGUAAGGGGAGGCUACCCUCUUGCCAGAAUUAUGAUCUAGUCAUGUGGGUAUGAUGUAUGUAUAGUCAGAUAUUGGAUCUGGACAUAAAUGGUUCUGGGUUCUUCUGUGUGGGAGAGGGGCUGGGGAUUAAAUGCAGGACCUCCUUUUCCUGAGUGAUACCUACCCCCAAGUAGGUAGUUCCUCAUUGGAAGAUUCUAGGCAAGUGUUCUACCGCUGAGCCACACCCCCAGCCCCUCACUGGGGGAUUCUAGGCAGGGGCUCUACCACUGAGCCACGCCCCCAGCCCCUCACUGGGGGAUUCUAGGCAGGGGCUCCACCACUGAGCCACGCCCCCAGCCCCUCACUGGGGGAUUCUAGGCAGGGGCUCUACCACUGAGCCACGCCCCCAGCCCCUCACUGGGGGAUUCUAGGCAGGGGCUCUACCACUGAGCUACGCCCCCAGCCCUUCACACUGGAAGAUUCACAGCCUCCACCCCACUACUGAGCUACGUCCCUAACCCUUCCCUUUUUGAGACAGGAUCUCUCGCAUAGCUUAUUGCCACAAUCAACAGACAUCACAACUCCGAGUCAUCUUAAUUCCUUUACAUUUAGAAGCUGAUAUGCCAUUUAGACACUGGGAAGUAUCCAAGCAUGGUUGGAAGACGUUGGCCAACUGUUCUGCUUUCCCUGAGAGCAAGACGUUUUUCAGGAUGCUGGGAGACUUUCAGUUUGAAAAGCACAUUCUCUGUUCACACAAGACAAGGUGGUCACAUCACUUGGAAGCGAUCUGGUUAUGGGAAGCCAUCAGGUCUACAUCCAACUCUGGUAGAAUGGAUUGAAGUUGAGAUGUUCUGUGAGUGUAAAAUAUAUCUGGGAGUUCAAAGACUCUGUAUAGGAAAAUAAUAUAAGGCGUUUCGCUAUUUCACAAAUAUUUUUUAAUUUUAAUUACCUGUUGAAGGGAUAGCAUCGGAGAUAUUGAGUUAAAUAAGCUACAUUAUUAAAAUUAAUAAUAUUACCUUGUUUCCAUUUUCUUAAAGAUUUUAUUUUAUUGUAGGCUUAGAUUUUUGAAAAACCUACUUUAAUAAGGGUCCUUUCAUGCUUCAACCUCCCUUCUAGCCCACCACUCACCGGAAAUAGGAAAAAAGAAAUGUUAAUAGGAAACGGGGGUUGGUUGUGGACCUGUUUAGAAAUAGUUCUUUGGGGCGAUUCCGAUCUUCACUGUCAGCAGUCCAGUUUAAUAGCAACACAGCAAACACUGCUCAGUCCAGAAGAAACUUCGAGUCUUCGCCUAUGGGCACGAGUCUGCUGAAGCAUCAAAAAGCAGCGGGACACCACCAGAAGGUCUUUAGUGUGUUUCUCUCCUCAGAGUCACAAAAAGUGAAGGUCACUGUCUUAGUCAUGGUUUCUAUUCCUGCACAAAACAUCGGGACCAAGAAGCAAGUCGGGGAGGAAAGGGUUUAUUCAGCUUACACCUCCACACUGCUGUUCAUCACCUUAGGAAGUCAGGACUGGAACUCACACAGGGCAGGAAGCAGGAGCUGAUGCAGAGGCUGUGGAGGGAUGUUACUUACUGGCUUGUUUUCUCUAGCUUGCUCAGCUUGCUCUCUUAUAGAACCCAGGACCACCAGCCCAGGGAUGGCACCACCUACAAGGGGCUGGGUCCUCCCACCUUGAUCACUAGUUGAGAAAAUGCCUUACAGCUGGGUCUCAUGGGAGCAUUUCCUCAAGGGAGGCUCCUUUCUCUGUGAUAACUCCAGCUUGUGUCAAGUUGACACACAAAACCAGCCAGUACAGUCAGCAAAGAAAGCAAGGUGAGUCAGUGUAAUAGCAUUGUCAGCAAAGGCCAGCGUCAGCGAAGCCCAGGGAAGCCCAGCGGUUCUUGCUUCAUUUUAUUUUUUCCUUUAUAUUCAUGAGUGUGUGUGUGUGUGUGUGUGUGUGUGUGUGUGUGUGGUAUGUAUAUAUGUGUGUAUACAUGUGCUUCUGUGUGAGUUUGUGGAAGCCUGAGGUUGACAACAUGACUUCUUUGGUCACUCUUCAUCUUAAUCACUGAGGCGGGGUUGGGGAUUUAGCUCAGUGGUAGAGCGCUUGCCUAGCAAGCACAAGGCCCUGGGUUCGGUCCCCAGCUCCGAAAAAAAAGAAAAAGAAAAAAAAAUCACUGAGGCAACAUCUCUCAGUUGAACCCAGAACUCACUGCUUCAAUAUGGCUGAUCUAGGUCACCAGCUGGGUGGCCAGCGUGCUCUGGGGAGUGUUUUUCUUCACUUUUUGAUGGAGCACUGGAAUUAUAGGUGUGAGGAAUGGUAUAACCCUAGGACUCCCAAGACCAAGCCCAGGACCCCAAAGACCAAGUUCUCAGUACGAAAGAGAUUUGUUUGCCCCAGAGGGACAGAGGGCAGGGAAUAAAGAGACAGAGACAGGAGAGGGGAAGGAGGGAAAGGGAACAGGGAGAUGGGGCCACAGUAUUUGUCCCAGAGGAUAAAGGACUGGCUCUGGAUAGAGAGGAGAAAGACAUGGCUGAUAGGACAAUGGCAGUUUAGAAAGGAAAAAAAAAAGUGAAACCUUGUGUUAGCAUGAGGUAUUUAAUUUUAAUUGGGCAUGUUAAUUAGGUGAGCCAAAAGGGGGUUUUCAUCGCUGGACUUCCAUAUUUUGAUAGCUGGACCUUUGUAGUAGCCUCAGGAGAAAGAACUGGCCAAACAAGGGACUACACCUUGGUGGCUAGCUUUAGGAAAGCAAUCUAAUAGUUUAUGUUAAGGUACCUGCCAUUCUCCAGCUGACUAGAGUCCCUUUCACCAUGCCCAUAGUAUUUGUGUGUGUGUGUGUGUGUGUGACAAGGUCUCUGUUAUAUAGUUCUGACUGGCCUUAAACUCACAGAGAUCCACCUGCCUCUGCCUCCUGAGUGCUAGGAUUAAAGGUGAGUAACUACUCCACUCAGACAAAAAUUGUGUGCGUUUUUUUUUUUUAUUGUUUUGGUGGUGAUAAUCAGUCUUGAACCCAGGGUCUUGCUCAUGCUAAGCAAGUGCUCUCCUUCUAGACUCUCUCUUUAAACUCCCCACAAAGAAUUUAUACACAUUCUGGGGACCUGAACUCUGGUCCUCAUACUUGCUGCUGCGUGAAAUGUGUCAUAACCACUGAGCUAUGUAAUCUAGACAGGGUCUGGUGUAGCCCAGGCUUCCCUCAAAGUCACUGGCUGAGAAUGGCCUCGGAUUCCUAAUUCUUCUGCAUCCACCUCCCAAGGAAGGACUGGGAGUACAGAACACCGUAAUACCUGGAUCCUUUUCUUUAAAAAAAUUUUUUAAGUCAAAAUUACAUAUGACUGGCAAAAUAAUUUUAAGCCAACAGCUCUUUCUCAUGGGGGUUUUCAAAUUGUGACUUGUGUCAGCAACACUUGAGGGCUCUUUGUAAAAAACAUCACUAAUGGUUUGGUUGUGGUUUGUACCCCAAGGCUCAUGUGUUGGAAGUUUGGUCUUCGUUGUGCUAUGUUGAUUGGUGGCUGGAUCUUUAGGAAGCUGAACUUAGUGGGAAGUCUUUAGGUAUUAGAAGCAUGCUCUCAGAAGGGUUCAAUGUAGGUUUUCCUCAGUGACUCUGUGUGUGUGUGUGUGUGUGUGUGUGUGUGUGUGUGUGUGUGUCUGUGCAUGCGUGUAGCAUGCGCACAUGUCUGUAUGGGAAUUUGUACAUGUGAGUGCAGUGUGCUAAGAGGCUGUUGGCUACUCACCCCGACUCUGGAUUUUCAAACAGUUAAGACCUGCCUGAUGGGGUUGGUGGGAUCUGAACUUUGGUCCUCUGUAAGAGCAGUGCAUUAUUUAACCACCAUGCCACCUUCCAGCCCUGUGUUCUGAUAACUUACUUACUAGAUGGUUGUGCCGAGAGACUGGACACAGAUAAUGAUGGACCCAUGACAGGCAAACCUUACCUUGAGUAGGCUUGCUUAGUUUUGAAGGCCUCUUUACUAAAUUAAUUAGCACGUGCUCUCGUGCUCUCUGUCUCUGUCUCUGUCUCUGUCUGUCUCUGUCUCUGUCUGUCUUUGUCUCUGUCUCUCUCUCUGUCUCUCUCUGUGGUGUGAGUGUUUAUGUGUAGUGUGUGCAUGUGUGGCAUGUGCAUGUAUGACGUGUGUGCGUGUGUGUAUGUGGCAUGUGCGGCGUGUGUGUGCACACACACAUGCACAGGUGCCAUGGCAUGAGUGUCACGUUUCAGGACUCUGCUCUCUUCUUUCACCAGGUGAGUUGCAGGGAUGGAGUAUAGGUCAUUAAGACUCGGAAGUCAGCAUCUUUGCCUUUGGGGCCAUUUCACCAGUCCCUGUACAAACUUGUUGCCUUGUAUUUAAUCUGAAACCUCAUGUCAGGACCUGAGUGGACCACCAGACUGACCUCUAUGUACCACUUCCCAGUGUGGCCAUAUUGAAUAAAUACUCUGAAACAAUGUUUUAGUUCUCCACAUAAUUGCAAAUUGGCAGCCAGGGUUCAAAGAGCAUUACCUUUCGCCAUUCCUUCCUCACCAACGUCAUGGAAAACUUGCUAGAAACACAAACUCUGUGAAAGUCUGAUUCUACACUGGGGUGGUUUGAAUACGUUUGGCCCAGGGAGUCAGUGGCACUAUUAGGAGGUGUGGCCUUGUUGGAGGAAGUGUGUCACUGUGGGGGUGAUCUUUGAGACCCUCCUCCUAGCUGCCCAUGAGACAGUCUUCUUUUAGUGGCCUCCAGAUGAAGAUGUAGAACUCAAGUCCUCCUGCACCAUGUUUGCCUGGAUGCUGCCAUGUUCCUGCCUUGGUGAUAAUGGACUGAUCCUCUGAACUUGUAAGCCAGCCCCAGUUAAAUGUUGUCCUUUAUAAGAGUUGCCUAGGUCAUGGUGUCUGUUCACAGCAAUGAACCCCUAACUAAGACAUACACCUACAAAAUAGGAAGCUCUGGGAUACCUCCUCCUAGGUAUAUAGGUGACUAAGACAUAGACUCACAUGGAGAACCAUGACCUGAGAUAACGAUGUUGAAUGACUCAACAUAGCUACUUCUAGAGAUGUCGUCAUGAUGAGGUAGGGUGGGGAAAACCAGGCCAGGUCUUUACAGGUCAUUCUCAGUUCAUACUUGGAUUGACCGAGUGGCCAUCUGUCCAUGGCUGUCACCUGACAUCUAUAUAGAUAGUUACCUGUGUUACAAGUUCAGACUUUGCAUGACUGCAGCUUUCGCAGUUUCCUGGGGCCAAAGUAACAUAAAGCUAUCUGUGGUGGUUUGAAUGAGAAUGUCCCCCAUAGGCUCACAGGUUUGAACAUUUGGUCCCCAGUUGGUGGCGCUGUUUGAGGUGGUUUAGGACAUGUGGUCUUGCUAGAAGAGGUAUGUCACUAGGGAUGGGCUUUGAGAGUUUAAACACACACACACACACACACACACACACACACACACACACUUUAAUUUACAAGUAGUCAGAGCGGAAGUGGGCACCAGUUCAGUUUCCAAGGCAAAGAGAUCCACAUCCAUAGCCAGGAGGAUGUCAUAGAUGCUGAUGAUGUCACAUAUAUAACCAGGAGGACAUCACAGAUGCUGAUGAUGUCACAUCCAUAGCCAGGAGGACGUCACAGAUGCUGAUGAUGUCACAUCCAUAGCCAGGAUGAUGUCACAGAUACUGGUGAUAGUCAGGAUGGGUAGUGGAUCUGCAAAGGGAGCUUAGAGUUGAGAGACUGGGGCUGAGAGCCAAGCUGGCUGGGUAUGUGUUUAAGCCUAGAACUGAUAUUUUCAUAAGCGCGCUUGUCAGCUUCACUGCAUCUGGAGUCUACUAAGAGACGUGCCCUUUGAAAGGCCCAAGUGAGAGCAAUUCCAGGAAGAAUUAACCAAGAGAGGAGGACUUUGUGCUGGGAGCCCCGAUAUAGAGAGGUCUGGGGGCAAAGCAGCGCUACUCUGCCUGCUUGACUUUGCAGCUUGCUCUUGAGUGCAUCUAUCUUGUUGCCACCAUAGUUGCUGCCACUGCCGCCAUUUUUCCACUAGCAUUAGGAUACAGCCUUCUCAGCCUGCCAAUGAGCACCAAAGACAAGUGGCUCUCCAGGGAGCCUUCAGGCCUCCAGUGCCAGACUGGGGCUACUGAGGCAAGAGAGAUAGCAGCUACUGGGCCCUCAGUCAUCUCCGGCACGCAGACGGCCAUUGUUGGAGCGCUCCGUCCUUAUCUUGAGGGCUGAUCUUGUAGCUCCUUUGUUGUAUAUGCUAGUCAUUUGUUGUUGUUGCUCUGCUAAAACAUCACGGUCAAAGGCAACCUAAGGAAGAGAUUUAUUUUGAGUUGCAGCUUCAGAGGCACGGCGGCGGGCGAGCAGCAGGCAAGGUGGCAGGACCCCGAGAGAUCACAUUUUCAACUACAAACAGGAAUAGGAGACAGCAAACUGGAGCUGGAAUGAGGCUGUGGACUCUCAAGCUCAUCCCUAUUGAACUACCUCAAGCAAGUCUGUGUUACCUCAUCAGAUAGCGCCACAUUCUGGGGGACCAAGAGUUCCAACACUUGAGCCUGGGGUCACUUUCCCAUUCAAACUCCCACAGGAUACAUAUUUGUAAAUGUGCAUGUAAUUCUUCUUCCCGUCAAUUUUAUUUUUAAAUUAUUUUAUUAAUUUUA